rnacentral:misc_RNA from 1 species
AGCAGCCGCGGUAAUUCCAGCUCCAAUAGCGUAUAUUAAAGUUGUUGCAGUUAAAAAGCUCGUAGUUGAACUUCAGGCCUGGCUGGGCGGUCCGCCUUCCGGGUGAGUACUGCCUGUGGUCGGGUCCUACCUUCUGGCGAAGCGUCAUGGCCUUAACCGGCCGUGGCGGGGAACCAGGACUUUUACUGUGAAAAAAUUAGAGUGUUCAAAGCAGGCACGCGCUUGAAUACAUUAGCAUGGAAUAAUGGAAUAGGACAGUGGUUCUAUUUGUUGGUUUCUAGGACCGUUGUAAUGAUUAAUAGGGAUAGUUGGGGGCAUUAGUAUUCAAUUGUCAGAGGUGAAAUUCUUGGAUUUAUUGAAGACUAACUACUGCGAAAGCAUUUGCCAAGGAUGUUUUCAUUAAUCAAGAACGAAAGUUAGGGGAUCGAAGACGAUCAGAUACCGUCGUAGUCUUAACCA